AUGCUGCAGAAGGAUGGAGAUAUUGAUGAAGAUGUGAACCAUCGCAUCAAAGCCGGAUGGAUGAAGUGGCACCAAGCUUCUGGCAUCCUCUAUGACAAGAGAGUGCCACAAAAGCUAAAAGGCAAAUUCUACAGGACGGCGGUCCGACCCGCAAUGUUGUAUGGCGCUGAGUGUUGGCCGACUAAAAGGCGACAUGUUCAACAGUUAGGUGUGGCGGAGAUGCGCAUGUUGAGGUGGAUGUGUGGCCACACGAGGAAGGAUCGAGUCCGGAAUGAUGAUAUACGAGAUAGAGUUGGGGUAGCACCAAUUGAAGAGAAGCUUGUCCUACAUCGUCUGAGAUGGUUUGGGCAUAUUCAGUGCAGGCCUCCAGAAGCUCCAGUGCAUAGCGGACGGCUAAAGCGUGCGGGUAAUGUCAAGAGAGGUCGGGGUAGACCGAAUUUGAUAUGGGACGAAUCCGUAAAGAGAGAUACGAAGGAUUGGAGUAUCACCAAAGAACUAGCUAUGGACAUGGGUGCGUGGAAGUUUGCUAUCCAUGUGCCAGAACCAUGA
rnacentral:rRNA from 1 species